GACGAACGCUGGCGGCGUGCCUAAUACAUGCAAGUAGAACGCACAGUUUAUACCGUAGCUUGCUACACCAUAGACUGUGAGUUGCGAACGGGUGAGUAACGCGUAGGUAACCUGCCUGGUAGCGGGGGAUAACUAUUGGAAACGAUAGCUAAUACCGCAUAAUAUUAAUUAUUGCAUGAUAAUUAAUUGAAAGGUGCAAUUGCACCACUACCAGAUGGACCUGCGUUGUAUUAGCUAGUAGGGGAGGUAACGGCUCACCUAGGCGACGAUACAUAGCCGACCUGAGAGGGUGAUCGGCCACACUGGGACUGAGACACGGCCCAGACUCCUACGGGAGGCAGCAGUAGGGAAUCUUCGGAAAUGGACGAAAGUCUGACCGAGCAACGCCGCGUGAGUGAAGAAGGUUUUCGGAUCGUAAAGCUCUGUUGUAAGAGAAGAACGGGUGUGAGAGUGGAAAGUUCACACUGUGACGGUAUCUUACCAGAAAGGGACGGCUAACUACGUG
rnacentral:rRNA from 1 species